rnacentral:rRNA from 1 species
GAUGAACGCUGGCGGCGUGCCUAAUACAUGCAAGUCGAGCGAACAGAUGAGGAGCUUGCUCCUCUGACGUUAGCGGCGGACGGGUGAGUAACACGUGGAUAACCUACCUAUAAGACUGGGAUAACUUCGGGAAACCGGAGCUAAUACCGGAUAAUAUAUUGAACCGCAUGGUUCAAUAGUGAAAGACGGUUUUGCUGUCACUUAUAGAUGGAUCCGCGCCGCAUUAGCUAGUUGGUAAGGUAACGGCUUACCAAGGCAACGAUGCGUAGCCGACCUGAGAGGGUGAUCGGCCACACUGGAACUGAGACACGGUCCUGACUCCUACGGGAGGCAGCAGUAGGGAAUCUUCCGCAAUGGGCGAAAGCUUGACGGAGCAACGCCGCGUGAGUGAUGAAGGUCUUCGGAUCGUAAAACUCUGUUAUUAGGGAAGAACAAAUGUGUAAGUAACUAUGCACGUCUUGACGGUACCUAAUCAGAAAGCCACGGCUAACUACGUG